AUUGAACGCUGGCGGCAGGCCUAACGCAUGCAAGUCGAGCGGAUGAGAGGAGCUUGCUCCUCGAUUCAGCGGCGCACGGGUGAGUAAUGCCUAGGAAUCUGCCCAGUAGUGGGGGACAACGGUUCGGAAGGAACGCUAAUACCGCAUACGACCUACGGGAGAAAGGGGGGGAUCUUCGGACCGUACGCAAUUGGAUGAGCCUAGGUCGGAUUAGGUAGUUGGUGGGGUAAAGGGCCACCAAGCCAACGAUCUGUAGCUGGUCUGAGAGGACGACCAGCCACACUGGAACUGAGACACGGUCCAGACUCCUACGGGAGGCAGCAGUGGGGAAUUUUGGACAAUGGGCGAAAGCCUGAUCCAGCCAUUCCGCGUGCAGGAUGAAGGCCCUCGGGUUGUAAACUGCUUUUGUACAGAACGAAAAGGUUUCUACUAAUACUAGGAGCUCAUGACGGUACUGUAAGAAUAAGCACCGGCUAACUACGUGCCAGCCGCCGCGGUAA
rnacentral:rRNA from 1 species